GACGAACGCUGGCGGCGUGCUUAACACAUGCAAGUCGAACGGAAAGGCCCUGCUUUUGUGGGGUGCUCGAGUGGCGAACGGGUGAGUAACACGUGAGUAACCUGCCCUUGACUUUGGGAUAACUUCAGGAAACUGGGGCUAAUACCGGAUAGGAGCUCCUGCUGCAUGGUGGGGGUUGGAAAGUUUCGGCGGUUGGGGAUGGACUCGCGGCUUAUCAGCUUGUUGGUGGGGUAGUGGCUUACCAAGGCUUUGACGGGUAGCCGGCCUGAGAGGGUGACCGGCCACAUUGGGACUGAGAUACGACCCAGACUCCUACGGGAGGCAGCAGUGGGGAAUAUUGCACAAUGGGCGGAAGCCGUAUGCAGCAACGCCGCGUGCGGGAUGACGGCCUUCGGGUUGUAAACCGCUUUCGCCUGUGACGAAGCGUGAGUGACGGUAAUGGGUAAAGAAGCACCGGCUAUCUACGUG
rnacentral:rRNA from 1 species